UUUUCCGGUUGAUCCUGCCGGACCCGACUGCUAUUUGGGUGAGGAUAAGCCAUGCGAGUUGAAUGGGAUACCUAAAGUUCCCAUGGCAAACUGCUCAGUAACACAUGAUCAACUUGCCCUAUAGAGAAAAAUAACCUCGGGAAACUGAGGAUAAUGUUUCAUAGCUGAAUUGGCUUGGAAAAGUUUUUCAGUUAAAGGGAUAAAAAAAAUGGUUUUUAUCUGCUAUAGGAUAGGAUCGUGGUCGAUUAUGGUUGUUGGUGAGGUAAUGGCUCACCAAGCCGAUAAUCGAUAGGGGCCGUGAGAGCGGGAGCCCCGAGAUGGGUACUGAGACAACGACCCAGGCCUUACGAGGCGCAGCAGGCGCGAAACCUCCGCAAUACACGAAAGUGUGACGGGGUUACCCAAAGUGUUCAAUUUUGAACUGUGGUAGGUGAGUAAUGUUCCCUACUAGAAAGGAGAGGGCAAGGCUGGUGCCAGCCGCGGCGGUAAAACCAGCUCUUCAAGUGGUCGGGAUAAUUAUUGGGCUUAAAGUGUCCGUAGCCGGUUUAGUAAGUUCCUGGUAAAAUCGGGUAGCUUAACUAUCUAUAUGCUAGGAAUACUACUAUACUAGAGGGCGGGAGAGGUCUGAGGUACUCCAGGGGUAGGGGUGAAAUCUUAUAAUCCUUGUAGGACCACCAGUGGCGAAGGCGUCAGACUGGAACGCGCCUGACGGUGAGGGACGAAAGCCAGGGGAGCGAACCGGAUUAGAUACCCGGGUAGUCCUGGCCGUAAACGAUGCAUACUAGGUGAUGGCACGGCCAUGAGCCAUGUCAGUGCCGUAGGGAAACCGUUAAGUGUGCCGCCUGGGAAGUACGGUCGCAAGGCUAAAACUUAAAGGAAUUGGCGGGGGAGCAC
rnacentral:rRNA from 1 species